UUGGAGGUUAAGGAGACUUCUAAUCCCCUAAGGCUCAGGCCCUCUGUU
rnacentral:tRNA from 1 species